AAUAAAAAUGCGGCAAACAUGUUCCUUCAAAUGCAGAUUGAACUGCAAGACUUGAGAAUAUUGCAGGAGAUGGUUGUGAUCUUCCCUCAACAACUGAAGAA